UACAGAGGUCCCAAGCGUUGUUCGGAUUCACUGGGCGUAAAGGGUGCGUAGGCGGUCGGGUAAGUCUGAUGUGAAAGCUCGGAGCUUAACUCCGAAAUGGCGUCGGAUACUAUUCGGCUCGAGGAGUGGAGGGGAGACUGGAAUGCUCGGUGUAGCAGUGAAAUGCGUAGAUAUCGAGCGGAACACCAGUGGCGAAGGCGAGUCUCUGGACACUUCCUGACGCUGAUGCACGAAAGCCAGGGGAG
rnacentral:rRNA from 1 species